GCAGGUCUGGCCCUAGUCAGAGGAGUCCACAAGGAGGACGCGGGCUGCCUGCUGCUGUGGACGGUCGCCACGGUGAUGCACUUCUUCGUGGGGCUGACGGCGCUGCUCCUGGUGUCCGUGGUGGUUCUGACGACUGGGUCCGCCGCGACAGCGUGGGGGGUCGCCGGGGAACUCCUCUACUGCGCCAUGCAGGCCUACUUCCUGGUGGUGGUUCACAGCUACCGCAAGUCCUUGGCAGAGCGCAGCACCGUCGCUGUCAUGACAUGAGCUCGUCAGUGCAGACUGCAGUCAGACACACACACUCUCUUUCUACAAGGAGCUGCAAUAAAACACUUUCGUGAACUUAACCUGCGAGUUUAUUACGACGACACAUCCC